GCAGCACGGGAGCAAUCCUGGUGGCGAGUGGCGAACGGGUGAGUAAUAUAUCGGAACGUGCCCAGUCGUGGGGGAUAACGUAGAGAAAUUUACGCUAAUACCGCAUACGAUCUAAGGAUGAAAGCGGGGGACUUCGCAAGGGGCCUCGCGCGAUUGGAGCGGCUGAUAUCAGAUUAGGUUGUUGGUGAGGUAAAAGCUCACCAAGCCGACGAUCUGUAGCUGGUUUGAGAGAACGACCAGCCACACUGGGACUGAGACACGGCCCAGACUCCUACGGGAGGCAGCAGUGGGGAAUUUUGGACAAUGGGCGAAAGCCUGAUCCAGCAAUGCCGCGUGCAGGAAGAAGGCCUUCGGGUUGUAAACUGCUUUUGUACGGAACGAAAAGGUCUGCCCUAAUACGGCGGGCCCAUGACGGUACCGUAAGAAUAAGCACCGGCUAACUACGUGCCAGCAGCCGCGGUAAUACGUAGGGUGCGAGCGUUAAUCGGAAUUACUGGGCGUAAAGCGUGCGCAGGCGGUGAUGUAAGACAGUUGUGAAAUCCCCGGGCUCAACCUGGGAAUUGCAUCUGUGACUGCAUCGCUAGAGUACGGUAGAGGGGGAUGGAAUUCCGCGUGUAGCAGUGAAAUGCGUAGAUAUGCGGAGGAACACCGAUGGCGAAGGCAAUCCCCUGGACCUGUACUGACGCUCAUGCACGAAAGCGUGGGGAGCAAACAGGAUUANAUACCCUGGUAGUCCACGCCCUANNNNAUGUCAACUGGUUGUUGGGUGCAUUAGUACUCAGUNACGAAGCUAACGCGUGAANUUGACCGCCUGGGGAGUACGGCCGCAAGGGUUGAAACUCAAAGGAAUNGACGGGNACCCGCACAA
rnacentral:rRNA from 1 species